AGAAGUUGAAGUUGACUGAAAACUCACAUACCUUAUUCAUGAUGAUUUGAGAACAAUAUAAUUUUAACAAGUUUCACCUCAAAUAAUUUUCAUAUCUUGAAAAACUACCAGGAGCACAACAGGAGAACGUGGAUUGUUAAUUGUAUAGAAGAUGCAAAAAUGCAUUGAAGACAUUAAACUCGGCUGUUAUAUAUACAGGGAGUGCACAUUUUGUGUGCGCAAGUCACGUGCACAUUGUGUUCGUGCGAAUCAAGUGCGUGUCUUGUGUCUGAUUAUCGAUUUUUCAUUUUGACAAAGAUACGUUAAUAUGCACCAAUUGUUUGAAAAUUCUCGAAGAAAACUAGAAAAUAUGCUACAAUCAAUAAUUUAUAGUAGCAAAAUCACAAGAUUAAUUGAAAUUUUACCAUAUAUUAAAAAUUGGCAUGCCUCAAAAAGCAAAAGCAUGUUAAUUUUUACUUAAAAAAGCAAAAACAUGGUACCCUAAAUUUUAAUGAUUUGUCAGAAUAGUGGACAUUUUAAAAAGCAAAAACAUGUUAAUUGUUACUUAAAAACACAAAAUUAAUUUCUGGAAUGUGCAAGUUAACAAAGUUUUGAACAAUUUCUAUCCUUGAUGAGAUGUGACAAAUGACAUGAAUCAACAUAAUAAGAUUUUAAAUAUGUAAUAUGAUAUCCACUUAACUGAACUUCAUAUCACAUGGAUAUGAUCCCUAAUGGGUACAUACAACAUUACUCAAAUUUUGUAUAUACAUAAUUUUAGCACGUACUUGGACUGAUUUCAGUUCACUUUCCAAUUUUUCAGGCUCAGCCACCGGUAUGUCUAGUUUAUAUAACAUUGGUAAAGAGAGGUCACCAAAUACAGCACGAUACGAAUACCAGAGCUUCGAAUAACAAGAUGGACAUGCCAAGAGAUGCAAGUAUAUAACACCCGCAUCUUAAACGUCUUAAGUUCAAAUAUUCACGCACCAAGUCAACUAAAUAUUACUCGAAAAACAAUCCGAAGAUCAAACCAGUGACAAGAACACCUCAAAGCUGAAAUGGCUCCCGGAUAUAUAUUUUACUUUGUGAAUUUACACAGAAGUGGUUAUACAUCACAUGACAAGAAAGUUGCCUUGUGCUGAUGAUGCAAAACCAAGUAUAUCAAUUUGGCUAUGGUUUAAGGAGAAACCAUAUUUAGUCGCUAGAAACAAAAGCAAGGUUCCAAAUGAUGAUCCUGACUAG
rnacentral:lncRNA from 1 species